UCGUAACAAGGUUUCCGUAGGUGAACCUGCGGAAGGAUCAUUACCGAGUGCGGGCCCUCUGGGUCCAACCUCCCAUCCGUGUCUAUCUGUACCCUGUUGCUUCGGCGUGGCCACGGCCCGCCGGAGACUAACAUUUGAACGCUGUCUGAAGUUUGCAGUCUGAGUUUUUAGUUAAACAAUCGUUAAAACUUUCAACAACGGAUCUCUUGGUUCCGGCAUCGAUGAAGAACGCAGCGAAAUGCGAUAAUUAAUGUGAAUUGCAGAAUUCAGUGAAUCAUCGAGUCUUUGAACGCACAUUGCGCCCCCUGGUAUUCCGGGGGGCAUGCCUGUCCGAGCGUCAUUGCUGCCCUCAAGCACGGCUUGUGUGUUGGGCUUCCGUCCCUGGCAACGGGGACGGGCCCAAAAGGCAGUGGCGGCACCAUGUCUGGUCCUCGAGCGUAUGGGGCUUUGUCACCCGCUCCCGUAGGUCCAGCUGGCAGCUAGCCUCGCAACCAAUCUUUUUAACCAGGUUGACCUCGGAUCAGGUAGGGAUACCCGCUGAACCUAAGCAUAUCA
rnacentral:misc_RNA from 3 species